UGUUGGUGUGCUUCCAAGCCGUGGCGCCUUCACUUUCAAAAGGAAAAGAAAACAACAAAAAUCAGCAGGAACAAACUAACUCAUGAAUAUGGAAGUUCUUAGAUUUUCACUAGCUACAGAAGAAUUGCUGGAAUUAGCUGGAAUAAAUUCACUGUCCAGUCUCCUCCGGAAAGCCUGUCUGCUUCUUUCAGCUCAAGUGACUAUCCAUUGCUAGAUGGUUUCCAUUAUGACUCCAGAAAUGACAUGUACACAGACAAGCCAACAAUAUGCCUCAGUGGCAAGGAAGGCUAAUGGUAUCCUGCCUGGGCCGCAUUAAGAAGAGCAUUGCCAGAAGUCAAGGCAAGGAAUCCUCCCCAUCUGCUCGGACCUGGUGAGGUCUCUGUAGCAAUAACUGUGUCCAGUUCUGGGCCUCUCAGUACAAGAGAGGAGUGGAGCUCCUGGAGUUAGUCCAUCCAAGGGCUACUAAAAUUGUUACAAGACUGGUGUAUAUCUCAGGUGAAGAAAGGCCAAGGGAGUUGUCCCCAUUCCGCCUGGAGAAGAGAAGGCUCAGGAGGAGCUGAUCUAUAUCUGAAUAUCUGAAGGGAGGAUUUCAAGAUGUUGGGGCCAGACUUUUCACAAUGGUGCCCAGAAACAGAAUGAGAAGUAAUGAGCAGAAACUGAAAUACAGAAAAUUCUUUCAGAACACAUGAACAAGCUUCUUUGCUGGGAGGGAGACUGCAUACCCUAGAGAGGUUGUGAAGAUGCUUAAAGCCAUCUGGAUGCAGUUCUGGGUAAUGUGAUCUAGAGGAUCAUGAUUGAUUGAAAAGAGAAGACAGAAUAAUCACCAGAAGUUUCUUCCAAUCUCGGUCAUUUUGUAAUUCAGUGAUUAUUUCUACCUCAUACGACAAAAUAUAUAUCCUGAUAAUUCCC